rnacentral:rRNA from 1 species
GUAGGGAAUAUUGGGCAAUGGUCGGAAGACUGACCCAGCCAUGCCGCGUGCAGGAAGACGGCCCUCUGGGUUGUAAACUGCUUUUAUCUGGGAAGAAAAAGGCCAUGCGUGGCAAAUUGCCGGUACCAGAUGAAUAAGCACCGACUAACUCCGUGCCAGCAGCCGCGGUAAUACGGAGGGUGCGAGCGUUGUCCGGAUUUAUUGGGUUUAAAGGGUGCGUAGGCGGCUGAUUAAGUCAGCGGUGAAAGACUUCGGCUUAACCGGAGCAGUGCCGUUGAUACUGGUUGGCUUGAGUGUCGGAGGGGUACAUGGAAUUGAUGGUGUAGCGGUGAAAUGCAUAGAUACCAUCAGGAACACCGAUAGCGAAGGCAUUGUACUGGCCGACAACUGACGCUGAUGCACGAAAGUGUGGGGAUCGAACAGGAUUAGAAACCCUUGUAGUCC